ensembl:lncRNA LINC01570 long intergenic non-protein coding RNA 1570
GGGAGGCAGAGGGUGGUGCUGGGGUUCCAGGAAGCCGAAGGUCCUUUCACAGAUGGACCGUUAAGCCAGCCCAGGGGACGGCAGAGCAGCCUGAGGGAGCAAGAACUGUCACCACGGUCUGCCCGCGAAUUUUAGACCACAAAUCUCAGCUUCUGGGAGCCAUAAUCAGGGCUGCAACCCUGUGCCAUCAGCAGAUAUGAAAGCAAGUGGAAGAUCCCUACAUAUAUGGGAUGCAGGCACUGAGGUGAUGCUGGGGUUGCAGUGAGCUGUCAAACUAGAUGUGUCAGAAAUGAGAAAGGAGAUGAGAGAACAAAUUAGAAUACAGAGUGAUCGACACUUUGAUGAAGGAAGUAAGUGGAGCCUGGGGUCCAUGAAACCCACUGCCAAACCAACCCAGACAGAGACAAAGUAUCCCUAUGUUUCCCAGGCUGAUCUCAAACUCCUGGCCUGAACUGACCUCCUGCCUCAACCGACCUCCUGCCUCAACCUCCAAAGCACUGGGAUUAACAGCAUAAGCCACUGUGCCCAGCCUAAUUUUUACUUUUCAACUUUGUACGUUGCGGUGUUUUUAAUACCCCUGCCAAGACCACAGUUUUAGGUAAACCGCCAUCCUGCCUAUACCCAUGUCCCUGUUCCCUUUCCUAGCUGUGUGACCUUGGGAAGUUCCCUUGCCUCACGAGGCAUCAACUUGCUCUUCUGUUAAACGGGGACAACAGAACCCCGUGAGACACUCUGACAAUCACAUGAAGCUAUGUGAAUAAAACAUGGGCCUAGUACAUAGCGAGUGUACAGCAGCUGCUCACUAGUCUUUCAACAAGUAGCGACUGAGAGUCUAUUACAUGCAGGCACAGGCAUAGGUGCUGGGGAUACAAGAAUGAGCAAAACACUGGUAAUGGGACAGACUGAUGGUAACGGGACAGACUGCUGGCAUAUUGGAAAUUCAGAAAACUCCCUGCCCUCCCAGUGGCAGGAGGUACAGCAAGCCGGCAAGUAAGUAAAAUACACUGGAUGUCAGAGGGUGGUGCUCAGUGUUGUGUGAGCAUCAAAGCAAAGAAAAGAAGAAGGGUGCUAAGCAGGGCUUAGACAUUUAAAUAAAGCCAUCAAGGAAAACGUUGCAGAGAAGAUAAUAUUUGAAUAAAAACUCAAAGAGGGUAAGAGUACAAA